GAUGAACGCUGGCGGCGUGCUUAAUACAUGCAAGUCGAGCGAACGGACGAGAAGCUUGCUUCUCUGAUGUUAGCGGCGGAGGGGUGAGUAACACGUGGAUAACCUCCCUAUAAGACUGGGAUAAUUUCGGGAAACCGGCGCAUAUACCGGAUAAUAUUUUGAACCGCAUGGUUCAAAAGUGAAAGACGGUGUUGCUGUCACUUAUCGAUGGAUACGCGCUGCUUUGGCUAGUUGGGAAGCUAACGGCCUAUCAAGGCGACGAUGCGUAGCCGACGUGAGAGGGUGGUCGGCCACACGGGAGCGGAGACACGGUCCAGACUCCUACGAGAGGCAGCAGUAGGGAAUCUUCCGCAAUAGGCGGAAGCCUGACGGAGCGGCGCCGCGUGUGUGAUGGAGGUCUUCGGAUCGUAAAACUCGGUUUUGAGGGAAGAACAGCUGUGGAAGGUACUGAGCACAUCUUGACGGUACCGAAUCAGAAAGCCACGGCUAACUACGUG
rnacentral:rRNA from 1 species